UUUAAUGAGAGUUUAAUCCUGGCUCAGGACGAACGCUGGCGGCGUGCCUAAUACAUGCAAGUAGAACGCUGAGGUUUGGUGUUUACACUAGACUGAUGAGUUGCGAACGGGUGAGUAACGCGUAGGUAACCUGCCUCAUAGCGGGGGAUAACUAUUGGAAACGAUAGCUAAUACCGCAUAAGAGUAAUUAACACAUGU
rnacentral:rRNA from 1 species